GACGAACGCUGGCGGCGUGCUUAACACAUGCAAGUCGAACGAUGACGACCGAGCUUUCUCGGUCUGAUUAGUGGCGAACGGGUGAGUAACACGUGAGCAACCUGCCCUUCACUCUGGGAUAACCUCGGGAAAUCGGGGCUAAUACCGGAUAUGAGCUCCUGUCGCAUGGCGGGUGUUGGAAAGUUUUUCGGUGAAGGAUGGGUUCGCGGCUUAUCAGUUUGUUUGUGCGGUAGCGGCUCACCAAGGCGAUGACGGGUAGCCGGCCUGAGAGGGCGACCGGCCACACUGGGACUGAGGCACGGCCCAGACUCCUACGGGAGGCAGCAGUGGGGAAUAUUGCACGAUGGGCGAAAGCCUGAUGCAGAGACGCCGCGUGAGGGAUGACGGCCUUCGGGUUGUAAACCUCUUUCAGCAGGGAAGAAGCGAAAGUGACGGUACCUGCAGAAGAAGCGCCGGCUAACUACGUG
rnacentral:rRNA from 1 species